CCUACGGGGGGCUGCAGUGGGGAAUAUUGGGCAAUGGGCGAAAGCCUGACCCAGCAAUGCCGCGUGUGUGAAGAAGGUCUUCGGAUUGUAAAGCACUAUAUUGGGGAAGAACACAAUGACGGUACCCAAGAGAAAAAGCCCCGGCUAACUAUGUGCCAGCAGCCGCGGUAAUACAUAGGGGGCUAGCUUUGUCCGGAAUUACUGGGCGUAAAGGGUGCGUAGGUGGUAGUGUAUGUUGGAAGUGUAAUCCCUCGGGCUUAACUCAGGGGCUGCUUCCAAAACUACAUUGCUUGAGUAUCGGAGAGGAAAACGGAAUUCCUAGUGUAGCGGUGAAAUGCGUAGAUAUUAGGAGGAACACCAGAGGCGAAGGCGGUUUUCUGGACGAUAACUGACACUGAGGCACGAAAGCGUGGGGAGCGAUCGGGAUUAGAUACCCCAGUAGUC
rnacentral:rRNA from 1 species